UACGAAGGGGACUAGCGUUGUUCGGAAUCACUGGGCGUAAAGCGCACGUAGGCGGAUUUGUAAGUCAGGGGUGAAAUCCCGGGGCUCAACCUCGGAACUGCCUUUGAUACUGCGAAUCUUGAGUCCGAUAGAGGUGGGUGGAAUUCCUAGUGUAGAGGUGAAAUUCGUAGAUAUUAGGAAGAACACCAGUGGCGAAGGCGGCCCACUGGAUCGGUACUGACGCUGAGGCGCGAAAGCGUGGGGAGCAAACAGG
rnacentral:rRNA from 1 species